rnacentral:rRNA from 1 species
ACUUAAAUUGAAGAGUUUGAUCAUGGCUCAGAUUGAACGCUGGCGGCAGGCCUAACACAUGCAAGUCGAACGGUAACAGGAAGCAGCUUGCUGCUUCGCUGACGAGUGGCGGACGGGUGAGUAAUGUCUGGGAAACUGCCUGAUGGAGGGGGAUAACUACUGGAAACGGUGGCUAAUACCGCAUAACGUCGCAAGACCAAAGAGGGGGACCUUCGGGCCUCUUGCCAUCAGAUGUGCCCAGAUGGGAUUAGCUUGUUGGUGAGGUAACGGCUCACCAAGGCGACGAUCCCUAGCUGGUCUGAGAGGAUGACCAGCCACACUGGAACUGAGACACGGUCCAGACUCCUACGGGAGGCAGCAGUGGGGAAUAUUGCACAAUGGGCGCAAGCCUGAUGCAGCCAUGCCGCGUGUAUGAAGAAGGCCUUCGGGUUGUAAAGUACUUUCAGCGGGGAGGAAGGUGUUGCGGUUAAUAACCGCAGCAAUUGACGUUACCCGCAGAAGAAGCACCGGCUAACUCCGUGCCAGCAGCCGCGGUAAUACGGAGGGUGCAAGCGUUAAUCGGAAUUACUGGGCGUAAAGCGCACGCAGGCGGUCUGUCAAGUCGGAUGUGAAAUCCCCGGGCUCAACCUGGGAACUGCAUUCGAAACUGGCAGGCUUGAGUCUUGUAGAGGGGGGUAGAAUUCCAGGUGUAGCGGUGAAAUGCGUAGAGAUCUGGAGGAAUACCGGUGGCGAAGGCGGCCCCCUGGACAAAGACUGACGCUCAGGUGCGAAAGCGUGGGGAGCAAACAGGAUUAGAUACCCUGGUAGUCCACGCCGUAAACGAUGUCUACUUGGAGGUUGUGCCCUUGAGGCGUGGCUUCCGGAGCUAACGCGUUAAGUAGACCGCCUGGGGAGUACGGCCGCAAGGUUAAAACUCAAAUGAAUUGACGGGGGCCCGCACAAGCGGUGGAGCAUGUGGUUUAAUUCGAUGCAACGCGAAGAACCUUACCUGGUCUUGACAUCCACGGAAGGUCUCAGAGAUGAGACUGUGCCUUCGGGAACCGUGAGACAGGUGCUGCAUGGCUGUCGUCAGCUCGUGUUGUGAAAUGUUGGGUUAAGUCCCGCAACGAGCGCAACCCUUAUCCUUUGUUGCCAGCGGUUAGGCCGGGAACUCAAAGGAGACUGCCAGUGAUAAACUGGAGGAAGGUGGGGAUGACGUCAAGUCAUCAUGGCCCUUACGACCAGGGCUACACACGUGCUACAAUGGCGCAUACAAAGAGAAGCGACCUCGCGAGAGCAAGCGGACCUCAUAAAGUGCGUCGUAGUCCGGAUUGGAGUCUGCAACUCGACUCCAUGAAGUCGGAAUCGCUAGUAAUCGUGGAUCAGAAUGCCACGGUGAAUACGUUCCCGGGCCUUGUACACACCGCCCGUCACACCAUGGGAGUGGGUUGCAAAAGAAGUAGGUAGCUUAACCUUCGGGAGGGCGCUUACCACUUUGUGAUUCAUGACUGGGGUGAAGUCGUAACAAGGUAACCGUAGGGGAACCUGCGGUUGGAUCACCUCCUUACCUGAAAGAA